GUAGGCUCGCCGGGUUUUUUUUGCUGAUAAAGAGUUGCCCUCAUGUACCUGAUCAUCUAGUUUGGAUAAUGGACAUUACUGUAUUGGAAUGCAGAGGUUUGAUGGCAUGAUUCUACCUCAUUAUUGUACAGUGCAUUCAACCUGUUGUUGCUUUCUUCCAACCCAGAUUCUUGUGUUUACGGUUGACACCUACUGGUAGUCCUCCUCAGUCCUAACCUGGACGGUAGCGGACGCGUGUAUGUUGCAGAUGGCUCCGAGGCGCUCGAGCAAAUGGCCCCUUCAUCUCCCAUCAAGUGAUCCAAGGAUGGUAAGAAACCUUCACUGGCUUCAACAUCACUGCCCGUGUGAGAUUUACAUAUUUUACUUUUGUGUAUGCUGCAAAUCAGUGCUUGAGUACCCCCGUUCUCUGGCCUUUGCUUUUCUUUCAUUCUGCGAGUAUGUGAAAGUCGUGUUUCUAUAUGCACUGUCCGUGGAAUUUGCUUAGUUAGGUUAUACGCUAAACGAAUACGAAAUCAAGAGAUUUGACAGAUUCAAAGUUCAUCAAGGUCCCUGGAUUCCUUAUCCACUGUGUUGUGCCACAACAUUCUCAGGGUUCCUGAUUUGCUUACAUAUAAGAGUUGCACAUAUAUACAUUCAUGUUUGCAGUACAAUGCAUUCAUGUUUGUUUUCUUGAUGUAGUUCUGCUCAUUUCAAUUGUAUGUUUUGCUUUCCUUAUCCUUUUGUUUUGGUAGAAGAUGCCAUUUGUAUUA